UACCAGCACCCCGAGUGGUCGGGACGAUUAUUGGGCCUAAAGCAUCCGUAGCCGGUUCUACAAGUCUUCCGUUAAAUCCACCUGCUUAACAGAUGGGCUGCGGAGGAUACUAUAGAGCUAGGAGGCGGGAGAGGCAAGCGGUACUUAGUGGGUAGGGGUAAAAUCCGUUGAUCCAUUGAAGACCACCAGUGGCGAAGGCGGACUUGCCAGAACGCACUCGACGGUGAGGGAUGAA
rnacentral:rRNA from 1 species